CCUACGGGUGGCAGCAGUGAGGAAUAUUGGUCAAUGGGCGCGAGCCUGAACCAGCCAAGUAGCGUGAAGGAUGACUGCCCUAUGGGUUGUAAACUUCUUUUAUAUGGGAAUAAAAUGUUCCACGUGUGGGAUGUUGUAUGUACCAUAUGAAUAAGGAUCGGCUAACUCCGUGCCAGCAGCCGCGGUAAUACGGAGGAUCCGAGCGUUAUCCGGAUUUAUUGGGUUUAAAGGGAGCGUAGGUGGAUUGUUAAGUCAGUUGUGAAAGUUUGCGGCUCAACCGUAAAAUUGCAGUUGAAACUGGCAGUCUUGAGUACAGUAGAGGUGGGCGGAAUUCGUGGUGUAGCGGUGAAAUGCUUAGAUAUCACGAAGAACUCCGAUUGCGAAGGCAGCUCACUGGACUGCAACUGACACUGAGGCUCGAAAGUGUGGGUAUCAAACAGGAUUAGAUACCCUAGUAGUC
rnacentral:rRNA from 1 species